rnacentral:rRNA from 1 species
AAUGAACGUUGGCGGCGUGGAUUAGGCAUGCAAGUCGAGCGGAAAGGCCCUUCGGGGUACUCAAGCGGCGAAAGGGAGAGUAAUGCGUGGAUCAUCUACCUUCAGGACCGGGAUAGCCGGGGGAAACCCCGGGUAAUACCGGAUAACGUCUCCGGACCAAAGGUGUAAGUCCGCCUGGAGAUGAGUCCGCGUCCUACUAGCUUGUUGGUGAGGUAACGGCUCACCAAGGCUAAGAUGGGUACGGGGUGUGAGAGCACGACCCCGCUCACUGGGACUGAGACACUGCCCAGACACCUACGGGAGGCUG